rnacentral:rRNA from 1 species
UACGAAGGGGGCUAGCGUUGCUCGGAAUCACUGGGCGUAAAGCGCACGUAGGCGGCUUUUUAAGUCAGGGGUGAAAUCCUGGAGCUCAACUCCAGAACUGCCUUUGAUACUGAGAAGCUUGAGUCCGGGAGAGGUGAGUGGAACUGCGAGUGUAGAGGUGAAAUUCGUAGAUAUUCGCAAGAACACCAGUGGCGAAGGCGGCCGACUGGGCUGUACCUGACGCUGAGGCGCGAAAGCCAGGGGAGCGAACGGG